CAACAUUGGCCUCUAUUUUCGC
rnacentral:siRNA from 1 species